rnacentral:rRNA from 1 species
AAUGAACGCUGGCGGCAGGCUUAACACAUGCAAGUCGAGCGAGCGGCGGACGGGUGAGUAAUGUCUGGGAAACUGCCAGAUGGAGGGGGAUGAGUACUGGAAACGGUAGCUAAUACCGCAUACCAUCAGAUGUGCCCAGAGGGGAUGAGCUAUCAGGUGGGGUAAUGGCUCACCUAGGCGACGAUCCCUAGCUGGUCUGAGAGGAUGACUGGCCACAUUGAACAUGAGACACGGUCCGGUCUCCUACGUGAGGCAGCGGUGGGGAAUUGUGCACAAGUGGGGCAAGCCGGAUGCAGCCAGGCCGCGCGUGUCAAGAAGGCCGUCGCGUUGUAAAGCACUUUCAGCGAGGAGGCGUUGCUCGCAGAAGAAGCACCGGCUAACUCCGUGCCAGCAGCCGCGGUAAUUC